rnacentral:tRNA from 1 species
GCAUUGGUGGGUCAGUGGUAGAAUUCUCACCUUCCAUGAGGGAGACCUGGGUUCAGUUCCCAGCCAGUGCA